rnacentral:tRNA from 1 species
GGGCGAUUAGCUCAGUUGGCUAGAGCACCUGCCUUACAAGCAGGGGGUCGCAGGUUCGAGUCCUGCAUCGCCCACCA